GACGAACGCUGGCGGCGUGCUUAACACAUGCAAGUCGAACGAGUGGCGGACGGGUGAGUAAUGCUUGGGAAUCUGGCUUAUGGAGGGGGAUAACGACGGGAAACUGUCGCUAAUACCGCGUACCAUAGGAUGAGCCCAAGUGGGAUUAGGUAGUUGGUGGGGUAAUGGCCUACCAAGCCGACGAUCUCUAGCUGGUCUGAGAGGAUGAUCCGCCACACUGGGACUGAGACACGGCCCAGACUCCUACGGGAGGCAGCAGUGGGGAAUUUUGGACAAUGGGCGCAAGCCUGAUCCAGCCAUGCCGCGUGUCUGAAGAAGGCCUUCGGGUUGUAAAGGACUUUUGUCAGGGAAGCGGUACCUGAAGAAUAAGCACCGGCUAACUACGUGCCAGCAGCCGCGGUAAUUC
rnacentral:rRNA from 1 species